rnacentral:rRNA from 1 species
UACGUAGGCAGCGAGCGUUGUUCGGAGUUACUGGGCGUAAAGGGUGCGUAGGCGGCCCUGUAAGUAUGGUGUGAAAUCUCCCGGCUUAACUGGGAGGGUGCGCUAUAGACUGCGGGGCUCGAGUGUGGGAGAGGAAAGUGGAAUUCCUGGUGUAGCGGUGAAAUGCGUAGAUAUCAGGAGGAACACCGGUGGUGUAAACGGCUUUCUGGACCGAUAACUGACGCUGAGGCACGAAAGCGUGGGUAGCAAACAGG